GACGAACGCUGGCGGCGUGCUUAACACAUGCAAGUCGAACGGAAAGGCCCUGCUUUUGUGGGGUGCUCGAGUGGCGAACGGGUGAGUAACACGUGAGUAACCUGCCCUUGACUUUGGGAUAACUUCAGGAAACUGGGGCUAAUACCGGAUAGGAGCUCCUGCUGCAUGGUGGGGGUUGGAAAGUUUCGGCGGUUGGGGAUGGACUCGCGGCUUAUCAGCUUGUUGGUGGGGUAGUGGCUUACCAAGGCUUUGACGGGUAGCCGGCCUGAGAGGGUGACCGGCCACAUUGGGACUGAGAUACGGCCCAGACUCCUACGGGAGGCAGCAGUGGGGAAUAUGGUACAAUGGGCGGAAGCCUGAUGCAGCAACGCCGCGUGCGGGAUGACGGCCUUCGGGUUGUAAACCGCUUUCGCCUGUGACGAAGCGUGAGUGACGGUAAUGGGUAAAGAAGCACCGGCUAACUACGU
rnacentral:rRNA from 1 species